rnacentral:tRNA from 1 species
GGAGAGGUAGUUCAGUUGGUUAGAAUACCGGCCUGUCACGCCGGGGGUCGCGGGUUCGAGUCCCGUCCACUCCGCCA